rnacentral:lncRNA from 1 species
CUUCAGCAACUCUAAGCAGCCUCCCCCAGGAAAAACUGAUCCUGCUACAGCUCCACCAUGAAGUUCUUCAUGGUCCUGCUGCCAGCCAGCCUAGCCGCCACCUCUCUCGCCAUCCUUGAUGUUGAAUCUGGCCUCCUUCCACAACUCUCAGUCCCCUAAGGGUUAUUGAGCUGUCAGCUGGAGAGACCUCAGCACUAGAAAGGGCCUUCCUUAAUCCUUGUAAUAUGCUGUGUGGAGAGGUGGAAAGCUGCAGAACCAAAAGUUCACACCUGGGAUGACCUAGAGCCAGAAGGUGAAAUUCACUCGGAGACUCAGCCUGCAGAUGCCUUACUCCUCAGCAACCGCCUCAGAGGGAAAACUUGCCAAACUGGCCCAUAAAAUCGGGAAGAAUCUGGACAAAGCAUUGAAAGGAAUCAUAAACUAUCUGAAAAACCUAAUCCCUAGCGCCAAUGAUGUCAUGAGGCCCUAAUGAUGAGGGUGCCUGAAUUCCAGGCUAGGCUGUGGGAGACGCCACAUCCAAAAGCCAUCUUUCGGCUCCUCAAAUUCAUGUAUU